rnacentral:piRNA from 1 species
GGCAAGGAGAAGCCGAUACCCAAAAC